ACGGAACUAUGGGAGCUUGCUCCUGUAGUUUAGUGGCGAACGGGUGAGUAACGCGUGAGUAACCUGCCUUUCGGAGGGGGACAACAGCUGGAAACGGCUGCUAAUACCGCAUAAUGUAUAACCAAGGCAUCUUGGAUAUACCAAAGAUUUAUCGCCGAAAGAUGGACUCGCGUCUGAUUAGCUAGUUGGUAGGGUAAUGGCCUACCAAGGCUUCGAUCAGUAGCCGGGUUGAGAGACUGACCGGCCACAUUGGGACUGAGAUACGGCCCAGACUCCUACGGGAGGCAGCAGUGGGGAAUAUUGGGCAAUGGGCGCAAGCCUGACCCAGCAACGCCGCGUGAAGGAAGAAGGCUUUCGGGUUGUAAACUUCUUUGACGAGGGAUGAAAAAAAUGACAGUACCUCGAAAACAAGCUCCGGCUAACUACGUGCCAGCAGCCGCGGUAAUACGUAGGGAGCAAGCGUUGUCCGGAUUUACUGGGUGUAAAGGGCGCGUAGGCGGGACUGCAAGUCAGAUGUGAAAUCUAGGGGCUUAACCCCUAAACUGCAUUUGAAACUGUGGUUCUUGAGUAUCGGAGAGGCAGGCGGAAUUCCUAGUGUAGCGGUGAAAUGCGUAGAUAUUAGGAGGAACACCAGUGGCGAAG
rnacentral:rRNA from 1 species